ACACCUACAUAGUAGUGCAGACAACAAGAGCAGAUGUGACAUGGUGGUUCAAGUCAUAAUAUGUGCUUUCUACUAAAAAAACAUAUUCAUCUUUGUUUUAUGUGGUAUAAUAAUUUGAUGCCCCCCUAAAAUGAGUGUAAACACAUGAAAUAUGUUAGAAUAUCUUAUAGAUAGAUAGAUAGAUAUGAGCUCUUCUGUUGUUGCUGUGCUGGAAUCUGACACAUUCAUGUGCACUAUUAUCACUAGUGUGUUAACUGACUAGUGCUGCGGCUCUAGUUAGUGGUCAGACUCAGAAAUGGUGAAUGUUCGCUAUGGUUCUCUCCGUUCUGACUGUGGUUUAUUUCUCUUUAGGCCUCAUUGCAGCGGAUCCUCCAUUCGAGCUGAAACACAGCGGCUGUAUUAAAGUGAAUCAGUGUAAAUGUCUGAUGCGGGACGGAUCCGGGCUCAUCGAUCUGGGCUCAGUGGCGGAUGAGGACGGGUUCAUACAGCGGCUCAAACCCCUGCCAUCAGCGCCACAAAACACGGAUGUGCUGCUGUCCUUCAGCCCGUGUCUGGCCUUCUCACAACCCGAGCACUCAGUCUCCGACUGCACCAAUGUGGCUGCUUGUGUCAUUAGAAGGAUUCAUCAGGACAACAUGUACAUCACUCAAUACUUGAACUACGGCAGACAUGAGGGCAAUAAAUUCAGCUAUGACGACUCAAAGAAGACACUCUCUGUGUCUUAUUACAUGUUUUCUGACAGCGAGCCUCAGACUGUAGUUCAUUACCGAUGCAGCCCGAAUCACUCCAUCACAUCCAGCCAGAGCUUCAGCGGUCACGCGCCCCUGCAGAUGUGGGUGGAGAGUCCAUGCGUGUGUCCAAACGCCUGCGCGCCGGUGGACGUGGGUCCCGGCACCAUCCUCCUCAUCAUCCUCUGCCUCAGUGUGACGGCUUACUUCAUUAUAGGAUCAUGUGCACUUCGUGCGUUCAGGACUAGUAAUGGUGUUCAGAUGGCUCCAGAAGACAGUGUUUGGUGUAUGAUCUGCUGUCAGCUGACCGUCAGGAGAAAGCGCCGCUGCUCACUGAGAGACACACUGUGAAACAGCACUGCAAAAUACCCUCAGAUGGGACAUCAUGUGCUACAUAACUCUCACUAUUUCAUACAUUUCAAAUGCAUAUAUAUGGAAAUUGAAUUUGUUUGCUGAGGUGUGAGUAGCCUACAAUUUUUUUUUGUUUUUUUUUUUUUUUACAAAUUAGUAGGCCUACUUUUGUUAUGUAAGGAUGCAUUAAAUUGAUCAAAAAUGACAAUACAGAUAUUUAUAAUGCCACAAAAAAGUAUUUCAAAUAAAUACUUUCAAAGAAUCCCGAAAACAAAAAUAUGAGGCAGUUUUCAACAUUGAUAAUAAUCAUAAAUGUUUCUUGAGUAUCAAAUCAUCAUAUUAGAAUGAUUUCUGAAGGAUCAUGUGACACUGAAGACUGGAGUAAUGAUGCUGAAAAUUCAGCUUUGAUCACUGGAUAUAAAUUACAUUUUACUAUAUAUUCACAUAGAAAACAGUUAUUUUAAAUUGUAAUAAUAUUUUACUAUUUUUUUUAAUGUAUUUUUGAUUAAAUAAAUGCAGCCUUGGAGCAGAAAAGACUUCUUAAAAAAAAAAAAAAAAAAAAAAAAACUUUUAAUUGGUAGUGAAAAUGAACUCAUUACACAAAAAAGGUCUAAAAAUGUGAUUUUUUUUAACCUCUUAGAGAGUUAAAAGCAGGACGAUGCUAAUUGACAAACAAAAAUAUGGAAGAUUAAUCUAUCACAUCUAUAAUGACAUGACAACAAAACAGAAAGGGUAAAAGAGUUUCUUAAAAUUUAUUGAUUAAAAGCACAUUCAAUGUUCACAAAAAUAGUGCACUACAUAUAGAAAUACAAGUGAAUUUCAUUGAAAUUAUAGACAUUUAUUAAGUUAUAGGUCUAUUUUAUUAAUAAAGCAUUAAAAUGUUAGCUUAUUUGCGAGAGAUAUGAAGGCCUGGUGCAUUUUGUGUUCUCUAACCCGCUCAACGGUUAAAGAACAUGUAAAGAUCUCAGAGUUCGGUGCUGAACGGAUGAACGUCAUUCUGCUCGUUUGAUCCACAGUCGAAUCUGCAUAUUGUUUAGUGUUUAUGAUCGUGAUUUAGCAGGCCAAGAUGCUGAAGCGCUAAAAUUAAUGUUUGUUACCAAGUAAGUAUUUUCUCAUUAGAAUAAAUCAGAAGGGUUUGAAAGCUUAAAAAAAACCCUAUGUGCUCUGAAUAAAGAUUUCUACAAGCACUCAGUUCAUAUGAGCAGCACCGAACGAGUCCAUCACAGCUUAUCAAGUGCACUUGAGAAACGCAAAAAUACACUUCGUCUUCAAUAAAAGCAUCUGUCUUACUGUGAAACUCCAGCACAUUAUGUCUCUAGGGAUUUUUUUGUGAAGGAAAAUAACCAGCCAGCUGGUUCUGGAAAAUCUGGGGAUGGUGUGGAGUUCCUCUGUACUGGAAAAAUGAGUCAGUUUAAUGAUUUCAAGUGCAGCUGAGGGCGGUGAAACUCACUUUGACAAUGACAGUAAAGACAAACUUUACUGCACGUGAACCAGCAGUGACUGGAAUCAUGAUUAUGAUGUUGUGUAUGACUUUCUUACAUAGUAUUUUUGUCUUGUUUUCCAGCACAAACAUCUAAAGAUUCUUAAAUCAAGAUACAUUUACUGGAGAAGCAAAGUGACUUAAAAUAUCUUGUUUAAUGAAAAAUGUAUCAGAAUAAAGUGAGUUUGUGCUUACAAGAAGAACAAAUAUCUGCCAAUGGAGUCAGGAAAAUAAGCUUAUUUUUGGUUGAUAUUAGCAUAAACUAAUUUCAUUUUAAGACAUUUUUCAUUAAACAAGACUUAAGUCACUUUGCUUCUCCAGUAAAUGUAUCUUGAUUUAAGAAUGUUUAGAUAUUUGUGCUGGAAAACAAGAUAAAAAUACUGAGUAUGAAAGUCAUUUCUUGCAGUGUAUUUAGAAAUAUUAUGUAUUUUGUAUUUAGUUGUGUGCGGUUUGGCCCCACAAAAGUACUUAUGCGUAAGAGUGAAUUGCAUGAAAUCUCUCAAGAAACAUCAGUCAUAUUUCAUCCCAAAAUCAGAAAUGCUGGGUUAAAAAUAACCCAAGUUUGGUUGAAAAUGGACAAACCCAGCGAUUGGGUUGUUUUAACCCAGCUGGUUGGGUUAAAUGUUUGACCAAGACUGCUAGUUAGUUUUAUUUAACUCAACUAUUGUUUAAAAAUUACUGUAUUUCUUGCUUAAAAUGAACCCAAAAUAUGUUGGAAAUUAACAUUUAUUAAUAUUUUUAAUACAUGAACAUUUAUUAACAAGUUAAAUGAAUAAUAAUUAAACAAUCAUUUAUUAAAUUGCUUAUUAAUAAAUGUUCACCUUUGAUUAUUAUUGUUGCCUCUAGUAAUUAUGUGUCUGAUUUUUAAUUUCCAACCUAUUUUGGGUUCAUUUUAAGCCAGACAUAUAGUCAUUUUUAAACAAUAGUUGAGUUAAAUAAAACUGCCCAGCAUGUUUAACCCAACAUUUAACCCAGCCGCUGGGUUUGUCCAUUUUCAACCCAGCAUUUAUAGAGUGUAUUAUUAGUACCAUUAAGAUUUGUGACUUUAUUCUUUAUGAUAAUUUAAGCUAAUUAAAAAUAUAUUGCAAUACAAUGAAAAACAGUUAAAGAUACUACAGUAAAGUAUUGAGAAGGUAAUAAAAAUUCUCAAUUAUCAUUGAUGUUACAACCCAAAAAAAUCUUAAUGGUCCUAAAAUAGGUGUCAUUUCUUUGUGGAAAAUACACUUUCUUGUUCUUCUGAUUUUGAGGCACUGUAUGAGCUGGCGUGUUUUUGUGAGAUUGUCCUGUAAAGUGCAUUAAACUGGUUUGUAUAACACUAGAAUCUGUAGGGAGGGAGUUUAGUGUUGCACAGCAACACAGAAAAACAACACAGUCCAGUGGGUCAGAGAGCAUCUCUGGUACUUUCACAGCAUUCAGACCGGCUGAUGCUCCAGGAAAAACCCACGUCACACUUCACAGCCCUUAAAGAGCCCGUCAAAGUCAAAACUUAGUGUUCGGCAAAAAUUAUAAACGUGUC